rnacentral:rRNA from 1 species
CCCUUAGAUGUUCUGGGCCGCACGCGCGCUACACUGAUGCAUUCAACGAGUUUCUUCCUGGUCCGAGAGGAAUGGGUAACCUUUUGAAAGUGCAUCGUGAUAGGGAUAGACUAUGGCAAUUAUUGGUCUUCAACGAGGAAUUCCUAGUAGACGUAGUUCAUCAGACUGCAUCGAUUACGUCCCUGCCCUUUGUACACACCGCCCGUCGCUCCUACCGAUUGAAUGCUCAGGUGAGCCAUUCGGACUUUCAUCAUGCUGGUUUCCAGUUUUGAUGAAGGAAAGUCUUGCGAACCUUAUCAUUUAGAGGAAGGAGAAGUCGUAACA